CCUACGGGAGGCAGCAGUGGGGAAUUUUGGACAAUGGGCGCAAGCCUGAUCCAGCAAUGCCGCGUGAGUGAAGAAGGCCUUCGGGUUGUAAAGCUCUUUUGUCAGGGAAGAAACGGUGGGAGCUAAUAUCUCCUACUAAUGACGGUACCUGAAGAAUAAGCACCGGCUAACUACGUGCCAGCAGCCGCGGUAAUACGUAGGGUGCAAGCGUUAAUCGGAAUUACUGGGCGUAAAGCGUGCGCAGGCGGUUUUGUAAGUCUGUCGUGAAAGCCCCGGGCUCAACCUGGGAAUUGCGAUGGAGACUGCAAGGCUUGAAUCUGGCAGAGGGGGGUAGAAUUCCACGUGUAGCAGUGAAAUGCGUAGAGAUGUGGAGGAACACCGAUGGCGAAGGCAGCCCCCUGGGUCAAGAUUGACGCUCAUGCACGAAAGCGUGGGGAGCAAACAGGAUUAGAUACCCUGGUAGUCCACGCCCUAAACGAUGUCUACUAGUUGUCGGGUUUUAAUUAACUUGGUAACGCAGCUAACGCGUGAAGUAGACCGCCUGGGGAUACGGUCGCAAGAUUAAAACUUAAGGAUUGACGG
rnacentral:rRNA from 1 species